CCGGCAUGAAAUCUAUCCGAGAGUAUUUUCUGAGAAAAUAUUUUAGUAUACAUAAAGGAAAACAUACUCUUCAAGUAGUUGAUGUAGUAGCUGUUGGAACUACAGGGGGCUCUCUUAAUCUUGUGAAGACCCCUGGUUGUGCUGAAGAUAGAUGCAGGUAUGAGUUGCAUCAGAGAGUACUUCCAGAGAAAGCUUUUUAGUGUUCAAGAAGGAAAACCAGCGUUCCACAUGGACGUUAGCGCUAUACGAGCAGCUGUUGGUACAUUGUAACCAUGUCAACACACUCGUCACUAUAGCAACACGCGCGUUACUAUAGCAACACACACGCGUUACUAUAACAACACACACGCGUUACUAUAGCAACACACGCGUUACUUUAGCAACACACGCGUUACUAUAGCAAAAGUCUUUUUGUAGUUUAAGAAAGCGGAACAGCAUUUUUGUAUUGCUAUUAUGCUAAUAACUUUUAUAGUGAAUCUUGUAAGGAAAAGAGUUUUUAACAAUUAGUAUUUUGAUAUUUUUUAGAAUUGAAAAAUUAUACAAAAAUGAUACACAAAAUCGACCUGGAACUAUUUCAAAUACAAAUUUCUUAACGGAAUAUUAUACCACACAGUUGUAUUAAAGAACGCAAUAAUUUGCCUAAGAGUAAGAAUAGUCAUAUCAAUUAUCAUUUAAAUUAGCAAUUUGUGCACUGAAAAUUACUUUUUCGUGUGAUGAUAGGAUGGAAAGAUUGGUACGGGUAAAAUCUUGGUUGUACUUGUAAUACCCAUUUUGUUAGAUGUAUACAUUUUGUGCGUACUGUGC